rnacentral:sRNA from 1 species
GUAAGUUGAAUUACCAUAGUUCCUCUGAAAGCUGCUUUGAGGAAAAGUCUUUUGGAAAGCAUGCUUUGGAGUGAAGUUGGAGGAACCCUGGUCCCUGUAAAUUUGUUGCCACUGAAGUUGCCAUGUGGCUGCCUAAUAGAAGACUCCUUCCUCUGACUCACGCUCAGGCUCAAUAGUCUUCUCCUCAGCUGCAAAGUGGACAUGCUUCUUCCCUGUGAGCAAGUUAUGAACCGAAUCCAGCUUAGCAUUCACCUCUGCCAUCUGAUUUUCUGAAAUAGUUCCAGCAAUCUUCUUCCUCUCAAAAUCAGCAUUCUUGGUACUGUUGCUGCAAGCAAGGUUCUCUAUCAGGGCUGUAGCAUCAGCUGGGUAACGUGUAUUGAAGUUAUCAUUGCUUGCUGCAUCUAGAGCCAUCUGGUAUCUCCAAUCAACUCCUCUGAAGAAGGUACCUAGAAGUUGUACCUCACUGAAACCAUGAUGUGGACAAUCUCGUUGGUACUCCUUGAAACAAACCCAAGCAGCCUUGAAAGCUUCAGCUGGACCUUGUGUGAAGGUAGACAGCUUGUUUCUCAACUCCUCAGACUAAGCAUCACUGUAGAAAUUGUUCAAGAAGGCUAUCUUGAUGCUUCUCCAAGUCUUGAGGGAACCUGCUUUAAGUUGCUUCAGCGAAGAAGUUGCUUCCCCAGCAAGUGAAUAAGGGAAGAGCUUGCAUAGUAGGUAGUCCUCUGAGACUCUAUUAGCCUUGAUGCUCAGAACAAGGUCCUCAAAUCGUUCGAUAUGAUCCAUUGGCUGCUCAUGAGAUAAGCCAUGGAAAGGAUGCUUGCCAACUAAAGCAAAGUAGCCAGGCUUCAGCUCAUAGUCGUUCUUCUAGAAUGGUGGGGGUACAAUCGCUGAUCGAUUAGCAUAGAACAGGUCUGGCCUGUUGAAAUCCCCAAGAUUACGACGUGGUUUCCCAGCUGGAGAUACCUAUGGCGGGCAUAUCUAUUGUCUGGAUUCAAGAUCUAGUUAAUUACUCUAGAUCUAGCAUUAGGUAUAAUUAAAGAUGAAGAAUUCUAUAGAUAACCUAGCAAAGGGGGCAAUCUACUAAACCAUAUGAAUCCCAAAUGAGAAACCCUAUUCCUAACAAGCAGAUUACUCAAGACAUAUCGGAUGAAACAAACAACAUAUUUGAGAUAAAAAGCAUAAACAUAGUAAAUAGAGAAGGGGAAAGAAGGGAUCUCUUCACUGUAUAUAGAUCUAAAUGAAACUCUGAAGAAUAAUCGAUGAAUAGCUUAUGUCUCUCACAAUAGAGUUUUGCAAAGAACUUUAUAAAAGACUUGAUAUAUGAAACUUAGGUCUAAAAACAAUAUAUAUAAACCCUAAAAACGUCCAGGGACUAAUAAUGCAAAUAGGGAAAUCUUCUGGGGCAAACUUGAGCUUUUGAAAACUCGAAAGCGUCUAGGGUUUUUGCUGGGCCGAAACUGGUGUCGAUCAACACCAACAGUGUGUCGGUCGACACUCUUCGCUGAUUCCUGAACCAAAAUUAUCCUUAGCUUCCUUUUCCUUAGCUUUUGCUUCAAAAUGUCUCCUUAUCUCCAUUGUUGUCCCACUGCAUAGAAUACCUGAAAAGACACUAAAAAGACUCGAAAAAUAACAUAAAGACCCAAAAUCCUAUACCUAAAACAUAGAUAAAAUCGGUGAAAAUCGGGUUAUAUCAGCGGUCGUUGCGCUGCCGGCGACUGAUAAGGUAGCGGGGAAGCGUGUUCGAACGGAUGACUCUUCGUCCAAGAAGAAGAAGUACAAAAGGAAGAAGCCCUCGAGCGACGAGGCGGAGAAGGAGCUCCCG